UGCCAGCCGCCGCGGUAAUACGGAGGGUGCAAGCGUUAAUCGGAAUUACUGGGCGUAAUGCGCGCGUAGGUGGAUUGGUCAGUCAGAUGUGAAAGCCCCGGGCUCAACCUGGGAACUGCACCUGAUACUGCCAGUCUUGAGUACAGUAGAGGGCAGUGGAAUUUCCUGUGUAGCGGUGAAAUGCGUAGAUAUAGGAAGGAACACCAGUGGCGAAGGCGGCUUCCUGGAUUCAUACUGACGCUGAGGCACGAAAGCAUGGGUAGCAAACAGGAUUAGAUA
rnacentral:rRNA from 1 species